UAGCGUAGUAAUUUUCCAUUGUUUACAAUGUGCUGAUGUUAAUGGCUGGGUCAGAACUUUAAAAAUCAUGCAAAAAUGAUCAACUUUUCAAUUCUGACCUUAUAAAAAUUGUGAAAAAUAAUAUGACCUUUUAAAACAUGAAGUACAGAGUGUGCAUAAUAUGCUCACCCAGAUACUGUGAGGUUAAUUAAUAGAACACACUUAAA